GUUCCUCUCUGAUCCCGGGUUCAGUUCGCUACCGGACGAACUGCCGUUAAAACUGAACCAAGACGAAAAGAGGAACCUCUGAAGUUCUGUCUGCGGACCGUGGAGGAGGCGGAGGUAACGGACAUGGAGGACAUGGAGGACAUGGAGACGUCGGCAGGUUUCAGUCAGCAGUGCAGCAGCUGUGACUCGCCCUCGGCCAGAUGCUGGUGUGUGGACUGCAACGAGGCUCUGUGCGAUGUGUGUGUGUCGGCACACCGUCGAGUCU